AAACCGGCCCUUUUUAGGGCCACAAAAAUUGAUCGAAGCGUCAUG
rfam:Oikopleura dioica, whole genome shotgun assembly, reference scaffold set, scaffold scaffold_43